ensembl:lncRNA
AAAGUUAGCAAAGCUCUGAAUGGUGAUAUUUAAGGUAUUCAAUUUAAGAUCAUGUUAGAAUAAACCCUGUAAUGAUGUUGAUAUGAUGAACAUCAGCUGUUUGGGUGGUUUUCUCAGUAUUUUGGUAUCAGUUUUCUCAGGAAAAUGUGGGGAAAAGAUGCUUGAAAGAAAUGUGUUAAUAAUUAGAUUAGAUCUGCCAUUAACUAACUAGAUUUCAUAUUAAAAUAUAUUUGGCAUGGAUCUUGUUUGUAAAGAAAUGCUUUAAAUAUGAAACUCACACAGAUAUUAAAUGUAUUGUAUGGAUUCUUUUGACGGCUCAUUCAGGAAACACCAGAAAUCACAGAGGGAACCAGCAGCAUGCAGCCACCCUAUCAGAAGAAGGAGCAGCGGAUUAAAUCAAGCUCAAACAUUCAGACACACACAUCACAAUCAUAUCUACUUACAGUAGAACAUGAUGAAGAUGAUCGUGUCACUGUUUUAAGUUUGAGUUUAUUACAGAGAUCUCCUUCUCAGAUGACGAAGGUAAGUGAGGAGCUGAAGCUGAUAGACCUGGAGGAGGAAGAGCAGGAGGAGAAAAUACAGAUGGAGGCCGAUGCUAAAGCUGAGAUGUUCAUCAAAAGGGCAAUUUCAGGAAUACUGGAGAAACCAAUUGGCACAAAAGUGGCUAACAGAGGCUCCAUGCAGUACUCCCGGGGUAAAGUUGGAGAGAGUCUCUAUCAGAGUAAGACAGAAUUCGAUCUGAGAGACCCUCACAUGCAACAGAUGCCCGUUACCUACAGCAGCCUGCACGACAAGCACUUGAAGAAGUUCUUCAACAAGCCUGGGAGAAGGAAGCAGCUCAUCGACCAGGGCUUGAUUACGGAGGAUGGACAUGUGCUGUGCUCCCAAAAGGAGUUUAACCAGUACAUUGACUACCAGAAGUACAUCAAACCUAAAAAGGGCGAGCUUCCUCUUCAAGAUACGAGACCUCCAUGUCAGAUUACAAAGAAGAUUGAGCUCACAGAUCUGGUGGAAGAAGAAGAGGAGGAAGUCGUGGAGGAAGUCCUUACCAGCAGUCCUUCAAAAGAUGACAUCCGAGCUGGCUUAAAGAAGAUCAAAAUCUUCUUUAAGAAAGCAUGGAAGACAGUAAAACGGGCCUUUACCAGUAGAAGACGCCCCAGCCCCAGCCCCAGCCCCAGCUAAAUUCCCACCUUGUCUUCUUUUCUAUAUUAAUGAAAUGAUUUGGUCAGUGUAAUCCAGUAGGCUAAUUUAUGAGCUGAGCUCCAUCGUUAUAGAUGUUGAGUUUUAGUGCAGUUGACCAAAACAACCAAAGUGUUCACUGUCUAAUGUCUAAUUGGCUGCUUAUUAGUAACUUAUGAUUUCAGCUCCAUCGUUAUAGAUGUUGAGCGUUUGUAUAGAUUUAAUUCGGCCCUAAGAACUUAUCUAAUCAUAGUCCAAAACAUAAAGAUUAAUGCAUAGAUUUAAUUCGGCUAUAAAUUUAAUAUCAUGCAGUUUCUCACCCAAGUUCGGGAGCAAAACGCCUAGUGGCUGUCUGCUCAGUAUUUACUGAUAAUCUAAGCUCCGUCUAUAUAGAUGUUGAGUUAAUUUAUAUCAGUAUAUUUGUGCAGCACACUGAGCAGCAGACAUCUCACUUCUCCCGUGACUUCGGUCGGUGAUUCUAGCGCAUAUUAAUAACGGCCCCCUGAUGCCUCUAAAUCAUCUAUAAUUUGAGUGAAAGAUGCAGCUAAUUGCUAAUAGCUGAUUGGCUGCUGCUUGUAUUUAGAAUUAUCACUGAGCUCUGUGAGCAAUAUUUAGGCUCCAGAGCUAAUAUUAAAUUUAGUUUAGAGGGGAUAUCUGGGCACAGGUAAAUUCAUUAUAUAUUGUAUAAGUACUGUAGAUGAUUUGCAGGCAUCAGGGAGCCACUAUAUAAAAACACUGUAUAUGUGGUCUUAAAGUGACGUCAUAUCAUGAAUUGGUCAUAUGUGGUUUAGACCAGAGGAGGAUGGGUCCCCCUUGUGAAGCCUGGUUCCUCCUGAGGUUUCUUCCUACAGGGUAGUUUUUCCUCACCGCUGUCGCCUCGCGCUUGCUCAUUUGGGGUUUUGUAAAUAU